rnacentral:rRNA from 1 species
GAAUUUAAGCAUAUUAUUAAGCGGAGGAAAAGAAACUAACCAGGAUUCCCUCAGUAGCGGCGAGCGAAGCGGGAUUAGACCAAGCUGAAAAUCUCCAUGGGAGAAUUGUAGCAUGGGUAUUCUUGGGGUAUUCAGUAAACGUAAGUCGCAUGGAAUUGCGUACCACGGAGGGUGAGAGUCCCGUCCAGCGUUUACAGGAAUUUCCCGUACAAGAAUGCUUCAACCGAGUCGGGUAGCUUGAGAUCGCUGCUCUAAUAGGUGGUAAACUUCAUCUAAGUCUAAAUACUGGUGAGAGACCGAUAGCGAACAAGUACCGUGAGGGAAAGAUGGAAAGCACUUUGAAAAGAGGGUGAAAAGCACUUGAAACCGCCACGGGGGAAGCGGAUUGCGUCAGUGUGGUGCGGUGUCUGUUCAGCUACUUUUUAGGUAGUGUAUUCAGCACUAGCUUUGUCGGUAUGGCUGUUUUACUUUGGAUUUUGCAAAGUGGAAUGGUGAGGGCUCCCUUCGGGUUGAGGAUAUCGACGAAAUGACGCGAUUCGACCCGUCUUGAAACACGGACCAAGGAGUCUAGCACUACUGCGAGUCGAAGGGUGUAAAAACCUAUAGGCGCAGUGAAAGCGAACAUUGAGAAAUCUGAUACAGAUUAAGGAGGUGUUGAGUCAUUGACGAAAUAUCCUACCUAGAGCAGUAGUGCUGGGACCCGAAAGAUGGUGAACUAUGCCGGAAUAGGGCAAAGCCAGAGGAAACUCUGGUGGAGGCUCGUAGCGAUGCUGACGUGCAAAUCGCUCGUCGAAUUUGGGUAUAGGGGCGAAAGACUAAUCGAACCAUCUAGUAGCUGGUUCCCUCCGAAGUUUCUCUCAGGAUAGCGGGCCGACGAUGUGGGUUGUUUUGUGUGGUAAAGCGAAUGAUUAGCGUAUUUGGGGGUGAAAUACCUUCGGUCGAUUCUCAAACUUUAAAUACGCAAGAUAGAGAUGGUUGCUUAAUUGAACCUCUCUACUGAAAACGUCGGCCCUGUGGGCCACUUUUGGUAAGCAGAACUGGCGAUAUGGGAUGAACCAUUAGCGUGGUUAAGGCGUCUAAAUAACCGCUUACAGAUCCCACAAAAGGUGUUGGUUCAUCCAGACAGCAGGACGGUGGCCAUGGAAGUCGGAAUCCGCUAAGGAGUGUGUAACAACUCACCUGCCGAAUGAACUAGCCCUGAAAAUGGAUGACGCUGGCCAUGGAAGUCGGAAUCCGCUAAGGAGUGUGUAACAACUCACCUGCCGAAUGAACUAGCCCUGAAAAUGGAUGACGCUUAAGCGGUUUGCCGACACCACGCCGUUUUGACAAUAUGCGAUCAAAAUGAGUAGGAGGGCGUGGCGGUUUGUUGGGAAGAUUAAGACGCAAGUCUAAUUUGAACAGCCGCUAGUGCAGAUCUUGGUGGUAGUAGCAAAUAUUCAAGCGAGAUCCUUGAAGGGCGAAGCGGGGAAGGGUUCCACGCGAACAUUGAUUGGGCGUGGGUGAGUCGUUCCUAAGCCGGGUGGUAAUCGUUCUUCGAUCGGCGAAAGGGAAGCGGGUUAAAAUUCCCGCACACGGAUGUGAAAGCGGUGACGCAAGUUGAGGUGGAGACGUCAGUGGUGGCGCUAGGCAGAGUUCUCUUUUCUGUUUGACCUGUGAGUGCACGCUGUGGAAACCGAUUAUCGGGAGAAACAGGUGCUAAUGGGCAGAGCGUCGGGGUGUCCCCGGCGUCUAGCACGCCACCAAUGACCCUUGAAAAUCCAUCUGCAAUUACAUUUCACGCCGUGGCGUACCGAUAACCGCAUCAGGUCCCCAAGGUGAACAGCCUCUGCUCAAUAUGAACAAUGCAGGUAAGGGAAGUCGGCAAAAUAGACCCGUAACUUUGGGAAAAGGGUUGGCUCUAGUGGAGUGGGGGAUUUUUAAAUGGGUCUCAGUGUUUGUCGGCUUGCUGGCUAGGAAGGCUAAACUGAGGCAACUUGGUUUUCGGCUGACUCGUGCCGGCGAGUUUGGGGAUAUUGGGCUCCGCCUCCAGCAUACUCUAGACUAGAACUGCAACGGGCAAAGGGAAUCCGACUGUUUAAUUAAAACAAAGCAUUGCGAUGGCCGAGGUCGGUGUAGACGCAAUGUGAUUUCUGCUCAGUGCUCUGAAUGUCAAAGUGAAGAGAUUCAAACAAGCGCGGGUAAACAGCGGGAGUAACUAUGACUCUCUUAAGGUAGCCAAAUGCCUCGUCAUCUAAUUAGUGACGCGCAUGAAUGGAUUAACGAGAUUCCUACUGUCCCUAUCUGCUUCUAGCGAAACCACAGCCGAGGGAACGGGCUCGGCAAAACCGGCGGGGAAAGAAGACCCUGUUGAGCUUGACUCUAUUCUAGCUUUGUGACGCAAGUUAGGAGGUGUAGCAUAGGUGGGAGACUUCGGUCGCCAAUGAAAUACCACUACUCUUAAUCUUGUUUUACUUAUAGCGUAAGACUGCACGACCUUUAUGGUCUAUUCUGGCAUCAACCCAGGUUAUGGCAUACACCGUGUUUACAUGGCAAUGUCUCUGGGAAGCAGCGCGCAAGACACAUUUAGGAGGGGAGUUUGGCUGGGGCGGCACAUCUUCUACAAGACAACGAAGGUGUCCAAAGAUGAGCUCAGUGAGAACAGAAAUCUCACGUAGCGCAAAAGGGUAAAAGCUUGUUUGAUUUUGAUUUUCAGUGUGAGUUAAAAACGCGAAAGCGUGGCCUAUCGAUCCUUUCAAUAUUCGGAGUUUGAAGUGAGAGGUGUCAGAAAAGUUACCACAGGGAUAACUGGCUUGUGGCGGCCAAGCGUUCAUAGCGACGUCGCUUUUUGAUCCUUCGAUGUCGG